GAUGAACGCUAGCUACAGGUCUUAACACAUGCAAGUCGAGGGGCAGCAUGGUCUUAGCUCGCUAAGGCCGAUGGCGACCGGCGCACGGGUGAGUAACACGUAUCCAACCUGCCGUCUACUCUUGGACAGCCUUCUGAAAGGAAGAUUAAUACAAGAUGGCAUCAUGAGUUCACAUGUUCACAUGAUUAAAGGUAUUCCGGUAGACGAUGGGGAUGCGUUCCAUUAGAUAGUAGGCGGGGUAACGGCCCACCUAGUCUUCGAUGGAUAGGGGUUCUGAGAGGAAGGUCCCCCACAUUGGAACUGAGACACGGUCCAAACUCCUACGGGAGGCAGCAGUGAGGAAUAUUGGUCAAUGGGCGAGAGCCUGAACCAGCCAAGUAGCGUGAAGGAUGACUGCCCUAUGGGUUGUAAACUUCUUUUAUAAAGGAAUAAAGUCGGGUAUGCAUACCCGUUUGUAUGUACUUUAUGAAUAAGGAUCGGCUAACUCCGUGCCAGCAGCCGCGGUAAUACGGAGGAUCCGAGCGUUAUCCGGAUUUAUUGGGUUUAAAGGGAGCGUAGAUGGAUGUUUAAGUCAGUUGUGAAAGUUUGCGGCUCAACCGUAAAAUUGCAGUUGAUACUGGAUAUCUUGAGUGCAGUUGAGGCAGGCGGAAUUCGUGGUGUAGCGGUGAAAUGCUUAGAUAUCACGAAGAACUCCGAUUGCGAANGCAGCCUGCUAAGCUGCAACUGACAUUGAGGCUCGAAAGUGUGGGUAUCAAACAGG
rnacentral:rRNA from 1 species